GACGAACCGAGCGAACGUUGUUCGGAAUCACUGGGCUUAAAGGGCGCGUAGGCGGGCUGCCGCGUCCGGGGUGAAAUCCCACGGCUCAACCGUGGAACGGCUGGGUAUACUGCCUGUCUUGAGCCAACUAGGGGCGAGCGGAACAGACGGUGGAGCGGUGAAAUGCGUAGAUAUCGUCUGGAACGCCAAAGGUGAAAACAGCUCGCUGGGGUUGUGCUGACGCUGAGACACGAAAGCCAGGGGAGCGAACGGG
rnacentral:rRNA from 1 species